GCCUACGGGAGGCAGCAGUGGGGAAUAUUGCACAAUGGGCGCAAGCCUGAUGCAGCCAUGCCGCGUGUAUGAAGAAGGCCCUCGGGUUGUAAAGUACUUUCAGGCGGGGAGGAAGGGAGUAAAGUUAAUACCUUUGCUCAUUGACGUUACCCGCAGAAGAAGCACCGGCUAACUCCGUGCCAGCA
rnacentral:rRNA from 1 species